rnacentral:rRNA from 1 species
AGUGAACGCUGGCGGUAGGCCUAACACAUGCAAGUCGAACGGCAGCACAGUAAGAGCUUGCUCUUACGGGUGGCGAGUGGCGGACGAGUGAGGAAUACAUCGGAAUCUACUUUUUCGUGGGGGAUAACGUAGGGAAACUUACGCUAAUACCGCAUACGACCUACGGGUGAAAGCAGGGGAUCUUCGGACCUUGCGCGAUUGAAUGAGCCGAUGUCGGAUUAGCUAGUUGGCGGGGUAAAGGCCCACCAAGGCGACGAUCCGUAGCUGGUCUGAGAGGAUGAUCAGCCACACUGGAACUGAGACACGGUCCAGACUCCUACGGGAGGCAGCAGUGGGGAAUAUUGGACAAUGGGCGCAAGCCUGAUCCAGCCAUACCGCGUGGGUGAAGAAGGCCUUCGGGUUGUAAAGCCCUUUUGUUGGGAAAGAAAAGCAGCAGGUUAAUACCCCGCUGUUCUGACGGUGCCCAAAGAAUAAGCACCGGCUAACUUCGUG